GUUAAUUGAGUCUUUUGUGACCUUCAAGGUUGUUGAUUUGGCUUUGGCCCUAGUCAUAGGACCUCCAUGACUUCUCUUGCCCUUGGAAUCAAAGGUUGCCUAGGAAGGUUCACAUCAAGGAGAAAAGACUGAAUAAGAAAGAGGGAAAGUAGGUAAAUAUCUGGAAAUCAAUAACAAAUAGAAUAUAAUAUUUAUGCAUUGUUAGUAUAAAAAUUUAUAUGUAGUCAGUACAUUAUCUAUUAUUCAUUUCUAUUAGUGUUUUUUAGAAAAUCAAUGAUAAUAAAAAAUAAAUAAAGAAGACGGACAUAUUUUGUUAUGGCCUGAGCAAAACUUGCAAUCUUGUAUGUGAAAAAACCAACUAUCAUUGAUAUCAAUUCUAUGUGGAUAAAGUCAUAUUCUGGAACAAGAAUCCUGCAACCAAGCAGCAUUGUCAGGUAGUCCAAAAAAAUGCAGGUCUUGACCAGUGUUUGAGAUUAAUGAACAAAUAAAAAUAAGGAAAGUGAUAUACUUGGCAUCCCUAAAAAGAGGUCAAGAAAAUAAGUUUGCAAAUUAAAUUAAUUUCAUUAACAAAAUAAUAAUUGUUAGAAUUGCAAUCAGAAGGGGACUUACCCAUUCCAGUGGUUAUAAAUCAUGACUAAUACAACAUGAACCAGUAAUCUUGGUUGUCAAACUGCUCCCCUGCAAGUAACAUCCCAUAAGGCUUCUGUUAUUUAUGGUGACAAUUAGUGUUUUAAAGUGGAGUAAGAAUCCUCUCUAUUAAUAGAGAGAGACAAAUACUACAAAAAAACAAAGGAAAAUGGUAAAACGUUUUUAUCUUUUUAUAUACAAUGUAAUAACACUUUUGUCAUUGAAAACAUAAGUCAAGUACUUGUCUCUCCAUUAAUGUAGAGCAUCCUUGUUUUUUAAAAUGUGGUUGUAGUCAUGAUUGGAGUCAAGAUUAUUGCGAUUGCGUCAAUGCGGUUGUGACGAUGUAGAUUGCUGCCAUUCCGAUAUGAAUUAUUUUGUUAUUAUAAAAUAUUUUUGAAUUCGAUGCUGUCCAAAAUCGAUCGGAUGCAAUUGCGGUGUAGCCCAAUACAGCCGUUUCAUUGUGAUUUAGUGUUGCACCAUAAUGAUGGUGCGAUGAGGUUAUUGCAGAUGUGGGGAAUGUAAACAUCCUACACCCCUUUAUUUUCUCUCCUUGUUGUUUCUAUCCUUUGAAAGCUCUCGUGUCCCUACCCAGCCCAAAUUCCCAAACACAUUAUAAAAACUUUUUCACUAGUAAAGGCCAAAAAUAGUUCAAGAGGAGAAAUAAGUUAAAACCCCAUUAGUUAAGCUAAUCUAGAACAAUGUUGUAUAAUGUAUUUAAUGUUUCAGGUAGUUUUCAACUCAAAUAUCUCCUGAGUGCAUUUACUGAGUGAUGGUUGAUAGUAAGCUAAAUUUUACUCAAGGAAUAAAAUAUCAAUUAAUCUGAAAUCGUUCACCAAAGCUUCUUGAGCCCAGCAAGGAAUGAAAAAGAGAGCAUCUUAGAAACCUAAUAUUCUGUUGUUUCAUUAUUAUUAAAAUGAAGUGCAGUGACAACAAUAAAGAAAACAAAGCUAAUGUUAUGUUGUUUCAUUAUUAUUGAUAAGUGUGAUUGAUAUAAGUAUGAGCCCUAUCAUGCAUGAUCAUUUCUGGUAUCCUACAAUGUAUGUCACUUCAUGUGCCAUGGGUGGUGAUUGAUUACAAUUGAUUGAAAAAUGUAUUGAAGUUAAAAUUUUUAUUAUUAAGUAUUUUUUUAAUCAAUCAUAGUUCAUGACACAUGAAGUGAGCCAUACAUUGUAAGACUCCUUGUAUCCUUGUCACUAAAUCUACAAAAUGAUGAUUAUACCUGAUUUGGUAAAUUUCGUUUCCAUUUUCACCAAAAACCAAAUUAUACAAUUUAUGUGUUUUCCUAUCCUUGAACGGACUAUUAUUAAGUAAAAACACACCAAGAAAUAGAACUCUACAUAAUCAUUAUAUAAACUUCAGGAAAACUUGGUUCUGUUAGUUUCAUAGCUUUGAUCACAUGUCUCAAUAUGUUAGUUUAACAGGCUUGAUGCUCAAGUUAGAUGGGGCACCAAUAUGGGUCAGUCAUAUCCAUAUCGAUAGCCUCCAUACUGCAUAAUUAUCCAAAUUCCUUAAACAUCAAAUAAAGUGAGAUAAUUAAUAUAAAGAAGAAUAUAAUAGAACUGCUACCGGAAAGUUAGGGCCUAACAUUGUUGAGUGGGAUUGAGAUCACAUAACCACGAAGAUAUUCAUAGAAACGCAAGGUUCAAAAUUGUAUUCAACAACAAUAAUUUCUAAAAAAUAAAUAACAUUAACUAAAAUUUCUAGCCAAUUCAAUAAAUAAAUAAGAUUAAAAAAUAACCAUAUAGCAAAUGAUUGAUUAUGAGAUUAAAAUGAAUUAAAAUUCAGACCUUUUGAGAUAAGCUUUUUGAAGCAACCGAUGACCAUAUGAAGUCAUCAGAUGCCAAAGGGUCCUCAUCAUCACCAGUCACUGUUGAAACCAGUGAGAAGAAACAGAAUGCACUUUCAAGUGCAGUGAAUUAGCAAAGCAAGAAAAUGAGAUUAAAGAGAAAAGAAGAAUAGUGUUUGAAGAGAAGUAUAAGAGAU
rnacentral:lncRNA from 1 species